GAAAUGCGAUAAGUAGUGUGAAUUGCAGAAUUCAGUGAAUCAUCGAAUCUUUGAAUGUACAUUGCGCCCCUUGGUAUUCCAUGGGGCAUGCCUGUUCGAGCGUCAUUUGUACCCUCAAGCUCUGCUUGGUGUUGGGUGUUUGUCCCGUCUCCGCGCGUGGACUCGCCCCAAAGUGAUUGGCAGCCGGCGUACUGGUCCCGGAGCGCAGCACAUGUCGCGCAAACGAGUGCCUUGGUACGGCGGCGUCCAUAAGCCCCUCUCUCACGCUCUUGACCUCGGAUCAGGUAGGGAUACCUGCUGAACUUAAGC
rnacentral:misc_RNA from 1 species